GAUGAACGCUGGCGGCGUGCUUAACACAUGCAAGUCGAACGGAAAGGCUCCUGCUUGCAGGGGUACUCGAGUGGCGAACGGGUGAGUAACACGUGGGUGAUCUGCCCUGCACUUCGGGAUAAGCCUGGGAAACUGGGUCUAAUACCGGAUAGGACGAUGGUUUGGAUGCCAUUGUGGAAAGUUUUUCGGUGUGGGAUGAGCUCGCGGCCUAUCAGCUUGUUGGUGGGGUAAUGGCCUACCAAGGCGUCGACGGGUAGCCGGCCUGAGAAGGUGUACGGCCACAUUGGGACUGAGAUACGGCCCAGACUCCUACGGGAGGCAGCAGUGGGGAAUAUUGCACAAUGGGCGCAAGCCUGAUGCAGCGACGCCGCGUGGGGGAUGACGGCCUUCGGGUUGUAAACUCCUUUCGCUAGGGACGAAGCGCAAGUGACGGUACCUGGAGAAGAAGCACCGGCUAACUACGUG
rnacentral:rRNA from 1 species